CUCUCUCUCUCUCUCUCUCUCUCUCUCUCACCGUUCUCUCGCUCUUAAACGUCGACUUAUCUCUGUUUCACUUUCUUGCUGAAAACGAUUGUUACUUCAGUACUUUCACUCUGGAACUACAAGCCAUAACGUCCUCUUGCUGAAAAUAUUGAAUCUGGUGUCGAUUCGAAGAAAAACUUAGCCCAUAAAAGACUCGAGAGACUUUUGUUUUCCUUCAGAUUUGGGGGCUUUUGCUCUCUGUACUCAAGCUUUAUGUUGAAAGGUUGGGUUCAAUGAAGAAGUAUGUACAGGUUGUGUCCUUGCCUUCAAAGUCACUUUUCAGAAACUUCAAUCGUCUUGAUUCCCACGUAUGGCUUGAAUUCUAUAGAUCACCAUCUGAUUGCAAUAUCGAUCUCUUCGGAAAUGUUAUUCAAUCAUAGUGUGUCAUGGGAUGCUUGGGUGCCUAUAUUGCCAGUCCUGAGUAAUUCUGCUUAAUUGGUGAUCUUAGAUACAUAUGAACAGUCAUUCGUGAUUGAUUUUACCAAGUAUAAACAUUUGAAUCAAACCAUAAGGUAAUCGUGUUGUAAUUAGUGACUCGAAUUGUUUUGCUUCUGUCAUCAAAUUAUGUAGCAGUAGCCAAAUAUAAACAUUUGAUAUAAACAAUGUUUUAAAAGACGUGCCCCGAGGCACGCCUAGACGGCUUUGGAGGCGGGGCUGGAGUGAUAACGCCUUUGCCCAGUGGGAGUGGGCGAAAACUCGCCGAGGCGUGAUCGAGGUGAGACUAGGCGGCUAAGGUGUGCCUAAAGGCGGUUGGCGGGCGUUCCCAGAUCCAUCCGCGACCCAAAAUCGAAGUCGACUGCUUUGUUUUCAAGCUUUACCAUCUGGUUUUAGGGUUGCAGGCUGUGCGGCAUCCUCACGAGGAAGAUGAUUGCGAAGAAGAAGAGGGAUUUUUCGUUUUUUUUAAAAGACUUGGUCCAAAACGACGUCGUUUUGGCCAAGUCUUUAAUUUUUUUUAAAUGACUUUGCCCAAAACGACGUCUUUUUGGCCAAGUUUGUUUUUCUUUUAUUUUUAAAACCCUAAGAGUCCCUGUUUCCUCUGUUUUUCUCAAUAGUCCUCUAUUAUUUAAGGUUCCACAAGGCUUCGCCUCACGCCUCACUCCUCACGCCUAGGUUGGGCUAUCCCUCAGACGCCUCGCCCACGCCUCACGCUUUUAAUACAUUGGAAAUAACAUUGCCUAAAGGAGCGGUUUUAUUCUGAACUCAAUUCUUUUCGGUGACAUAUUGUAGGUUGAUUCACAUUUUGGGAUGUAAUAUAGUUGGCGUGUUGGGGCUGAUUGUGGAGAUUAUGUUUAAACUAUAAUUGUUGUUGUAAAGAGUCACUAUAUGCUGCUUAAAGGCUGGUAUCGACUGAUUCAUGAUCUGAUUACUCGAGAAGGUCCAUUUCUUGAAAUAGCUUGCAUCCUUAUUGCUGGUUUGACAAUCCUUUUGUGGCUAGUUGUGGUUGUUUCAAGUAUCGUGUUGGUAGUUUUCAUGAAUAUUUUAAUUGGAUUGUAUGCAUCAGUUGUAGUAUAUCGAGUUUGCUUACACCAUAUCAUAAUCAUUGUAAUCUCCUUGGCCUUUCAUGAUAAGUAAAAUUAUACAUUUUUUAACCGUUUGGAAAUGCAGGAGAGAUCUUUCAGGAAAGGUGUGGUACAUGAUUGCAAUGGUGGCUGAAUUUGAUGAGUGCACGAAUGAUGGGCUGUAUCUUCAAGAGGGGCAAUCUUUCCAAAGUUAAUGACUUUCCAGCUUGUGAAAUAUUGUUCCUUCAGCUAAUUAAGUUUUACCGCAGAAAGUCACUUUCAGAAAGUUCUUUUUAAAGUUUGGCACUAAUGCUUUUCUUUUCUUGGGGUGCAAGGAAACGGAGGAAGAGAAAGAAUCAAAUUCUGGAUUUAUCAAACACUUUGUGGAUCUUCCAUGCAUUUUGUAGCUGGAAUCUUUUGGUAAAUACUUAACCUUUUAAUCAAAGCCUAUAUAUGCCAAUAGGUUUUGUAAGUUGCAUCAAAUAAUUAAUUUGGUUUUUUCUUGAUAAGUACCAAAAUGUUUAGACUUUCAGCUUAAUAGAAAAUGAUAAAUUGAGACAAACUUGGAACAUAAUAAUCAAUAUUAGCAAACCGUAAACUUAUUUCGUGACUAUCACAAUAUUGUUGCAAUAUUCUACUUUUGCUUGCAAUUUUGUUCUCUCUAGGACAUUAAAGUGCAGUUUUGGUUUUAAGUUUCACCGCCAAAUACCAACUGUUUGAUUGUGAUCUCUCUAUGAGAUUGGAUAUAUGAUUUAAAAAUUCUGUUAAUAAAUGUUAAUUGUGAUUCAAAAAAUAGACUAUGCUUUACCUGAUCAAAAAAUGGAAACUACUUGUGUGUAUUAUGAGAGGAAGUGGAGAGCAAUCUGUCUCAGUUUUGGAAUGUACUGGAAUCAAAGAAGCUAACUCAAGGUGCUAACUUUGAAUUUUCUUGAAAUAUCUCCUUUUUUUUUUUUUUUUUUUUUUUUGACUUAUUAGAUUAACACCCCAUAAAUUGUUGAAUAAACCUCACAUACUUAAUGCACCCCACAUUUGCUUUUUCACUUAAAAAUUAUCUUAAGACACUCCACAUACUUUCUCAUAAUACCUUCACAUCUCACAUUCUCAAUAUACACCUUAUAUUUUGUACAUACAUCCUACAUUUCUCAAAUCUUAUAACACUCAUUUUUAAUUUUCAAGGACUAAUCUAACCAUUUGAACAUUUAGUUUGCCCAAAGAUUUCAAAUAAUCUGAACAUUUGGUUUGCCGAAUGAUUUCAAAAUGAUGAUUUGAAAUCAUCUUAGUGUAGCUUGAAAUCAUCUCAUUAACGCGUGCUAAUUCGUAUGUUUUAGCCUCUAAGUAUUUACCUUUUUUUGUGUUCAAUGAUAUAGCCAGAAGAAAAGGAGAUGGAAUUAAAUCAAAAGAUUGAGAGUAGGAGUUCCUAUGGAGAAUGGCUAUCCUCAAUUUGUCUCUAGCACUAAUACGACUUAUGAUACUGGGUAUGCAAGAUUAAUAUGAACUCUAAAAGAUGAAUAUGAAUAUAGAAGUUUAAAUAACGCAACAAACACUAGUAGAAAAAACAUGUUUGCACGACGCAAAACACCAUUGGCGCGAUGUAGGUACAUCUGCAUUGCACAAAACAUCUUAGUGCGACACCAGCCUUUGUCGCGCAAAGGCCAUUUGGGCGACGUUUUGUAUGUCGCGCAAGAUUUUGGCUGCAAACCAAGAAUGCUUUACCGUUUUUUUCCCAACUUUGCGCGACGUAGGUGCACUUACGUAGUGUAAAAGCUUUGCGCGACAAAGACUGGCGUCACGCAAAGCUAUUUUGCGUAACACUAAUAUUCGUUGCGCAAAGUCAAUGACUUUUUCUGCUCCACUUAAUCAACUCUGAUUAGGUCUGCGUGUAGGUAUAGUCUCAUUAGUGCUCAUGGGUUUAUAUAUUUUUUGUAUAUUGCUCCCUUUUUCUUCUUGUCUUAUUUGAUCUCUAUUUAAAUGAAUUAAAUUGCCUUAUUGUCAUGAUCAUUAGCCCCUGAAAUUUUCAUCAUUUAUAAGUUACAAUAUUUACAAGAUAUCUGUUUAUAGAUGUCUGUAGAUGCUUCUGCUAAGGGCCUACUUGAUCUCAAAGGGUAGCUAACACCAAUCCUGGUCUGUAGUUUUCGUUUACAUGAUUGUGAUUGCUUUAGGAUUUUGGAUGACUGGAUUUAUUCUCUUUCUUAAGGUUUCCCUUGUUAGCAAGGACUCCUCUAUGUUGGAUGGACUUGACAAUGCAAGUGUUGAGAUGGACAAAACAGAGGUUUUUUUGUCAUUUUACAGGUUGAUUUGUUUUGGUUUUUGGUGUGGCGGAGCCCAUAAAUGAGAAUGCUUCUUCUUUAACAUAUGUGAUUAUGUGAUUCUCUUUUUCACAUACUUCCCCUGCAAGCUAGGUUGAACGAGAUUAUUACUUCUGGUUUAAAGACGGGUAAUAACAGUGCAACACCUCCUUGGAUGGCUGAUGGAGGUGGUCUGCCUUCAGAUGCUUCUAAACUUCUACCUAAAUUGGUAAAAUUGACCAAGGUCAUUGAACAAGUAAGACUGCUAGCAAAGAAUGAAAAUGAAGAACUUGCAAAGACAAGCUCAGAUGAUCUAAUACUUCCUUAUGAUCUGGGUACAAUUAAGUGUUUCAUGAUUUUUCAUUUAUAAUUGUCGAAAAGUCUUGUCCCGUUACUUGAUCUCUGAAUGUUUUUUUAUUUUAUUUUUUUUUGCGCGUAUGCAA